UACGGGGGGGCAAGCGUUGUUCGGAAUUACUGGGCGUAAAGGGCUCGUAGGUGGCCAACUAAGUCAGACGUGAAAUCCCUCGGCUUAACCGGGGAACUGCGUCUGAUACUGGAUGGCUUGAGAUUGGGAGAGGGAUGCGGAAUUCCUGGUGUAGCGGUGAAAUGCGCAGAUAUCAGGAGGAACACCGGUGGCGAAGGCGGGUCUCUGGGCCGAUACUGACGCUGAGGAGCGAAAGCGUGGGGAGCGAACAGG
rnacentral:rRNA from 1 species